rnacentral:rRNA from 1 species
UCAAGCUACAAAGAGCGUAAGGGGAAUGCCUUGGCACCAGGAGCCGACGAAGGACGCAGCGAUCUGCGAAAAGCCACGGGGAGCCGCAAGCAGGCUUUGAUCCGUGGAUAUCCGAAUGGGGAAACCCGCAUGGUUAAUAGCCAUGCGACGUAUACUGAAUAAAUAGGUAUGCGUCGGGAACCGUCUGAACUGAAACAUCUAAGUAGGACGAGGAAAAGAAAUCAACCGAGAUUCCGUAAGUAGUGGCGAGCGAACACGGAAGAGGCCAAACCGAAGGUAGCAAUAUCUUCGGGGUACGGACAGUAAACGGCAUUGCGGUAUCUUAGCAGAAGUGCAUGGGACGGCACACCAUAGAGAGUGAUAGUCUCGUAAGCGAAAAGAGAAGGCAGCCAACUGUAUCCAGAGUACCGCCGGACACGUGAAACCCGGUGGGAACAUGGGGGGACCAUCCUCCAAGCCUAAAUACUCCCUGGUGACCGAUAGAGAACAGUACUGUGAAGGAAAGGUGAAAAGAACCCCGGGAGGGGAGUGAAAAGAACCUGAAACCUUGUGCUUACAAGCACACAAAGCACGUCAACGUGUGAUGUGGUACCUUUUGUAGAAUGGUCCGGCGAGUGAAUGUAACUGGCGAGGUUAAGUUCUUAAGGAACGGAGCCGAAGCGAAAGCAAGUCUGAAUAGGGCGUCUUAGUCAGUUGUAUUCGACCCGAAACCGGGUGACCUAUCCAUGUCCAGGAUGAAGUUAAGGUAAAACUUGAUGGAGGUCCGAACCCACGGUCGUUGAAAUGCCCGGGGAUGAGAUGUGGAUAGCGGAGAAAUUCCAAUCGAACCCGGAUAUAGCUGGUUCUCUCCGAAAUAGCUUUAGGGCUAGCCUCGACUGAACAUUACCGGAGGUAGAGCACUGAAUGGGCUAGGGGCCGAGAGGUUACUGAACCCUAUCAAACUUCAAAUGCCGGAAAAUGAUAGUCGGGAGUCAGACUGCGUGAGAUAAGUUUCGUAGUCGAAAGGGAAACAGCCCAGACCCACAGCUAAGGUCCCAAAGUACGGUUAAGUGGAAAAGGAUGUGGAGUUGCACAGACAACCAGGAUGUUGGCUUAGAAGCAGCCACUCAUUAAAAGAGUGCGUAAUAGCUCACUGGUCGAGUGACUCUGCGCCGAAAAUUUAACGGGGCUAAAUCGUACACCGAAGCUUGGGAUGCAUCUAUGAUGCAUGGUAGGAGAGCGUUGAAUGCGGGGUGAAGUCAGAGCGAAAGCGCUGGUGGACUGCAUUGAAGUGAGAAUGCCGGAAUGAGUAGCGAGAUUUAUGUGAGAAUCAUAAAGGCCGAAAGACUAAGGUUUCAGAAGGAAGGUUCGUCCGCUUCUGGUUAGCCGGGAGCUAAGGUGAGGCCGAAAGGCGUAGCCGAUGCACAUACGGUGGAGAUUCCGUAGCCGUCGAAAUAUUUAAGCAAAGGGACACUUAUGAAGGACAUGACCCGGGCGAUGGUAGCCCCGGGCGUAAGGGACUGAAAACAAGUAGGGAAGCAUGUUUGGAUUAAGGCGAGAAAAGCUUUGUGUAUAUAUUAGACGUCCGUACCGCAAACCGACACAGGUAGUCAGGAAGAGGAUUCUAAGGCCAACGGGAGAAGGGUAGUUAAGGAACUCGGCAAAUUGACCCCGUAACUUCGGAAUAAGGGGUGCUCACGAGAGUGAGCCGCAGUGAAUAGGUCCAGGCGACUGUUUAUCAAAAACACAGCUCUCUGCUAAAUCGAAAGAUGACGUAUAGGGGGUGACACCUGCCCGGUGCUGGAAGGUUAAGAGGAAGGGUGCAAGCUCUGAAUUGAAGCCCCAGUAAACGGCGGCCGUAACUAUAACGGUCCUAAGGUAGCGAAAUUCCUUGUCGGGUAAGUUCCGACCCGCACGAAUGGCGUAACGACUUGUGAGCUGUCUCAACAGGAGGCCCGGUGAAAUUGAAGUAUGUGUGAAGAUGCACAUUACCCGCGACUGGACGGAAAGACCCCGUAGAGCUUUACUGUAACCUGACAUUGGAUCUUGAUAACGGAUGCACAGGAUAGGUGGACGCUGGGAGGUAUGGACUUUGGUCUGUACGGAGCGGACGUUGGGAUACCACUCUUCUGUUAUUGAGAUUCUAACCUCAAGCCGUAAGCCGGAUGAGAGACAGUGUCAGGCGGACAGUUUGACUGGGGCGGUCGCCUCCGAAAGAGUAACGGAGGCGCCCAAAGGUACCCUCAGAAUGGAUGGAAACCAUUCGAAGAGCGCAAAGGCAGAAGGGUGCCUGACUGCGAGAUUGACAAAUCGAGCAGAGACGAAAGUCGGGCUUAGUGAUCCGGCGGUAUUGAGUGGAAAAGCCGUCGCUUAACGGAUAAAAGCUACCUCGGGGAUAACAGGCUGAUCUCCCCCAAGAGUCCACAUCGACGGGGAGGUUUGGCACCUCGAUGUCGGCUCAUCGCAUCCUGGGGCUGAAUUCGGUCCCAAGGGUUUGGCUGUUCGCCAAUUAAAGCGGCACGCGAGCUGGGUUCAGAACGUCGUGAGACAGUUCGGUCCCUAUCCAUCGUGGGCGAAGGACACAUGAGAGGAGCUGCUCCUAGUACGAGAGGACCGGAGUGGACGCAUCACUGGUGCAACUGUUGUCGUGCCAACGGCACAGCAGGGAAGCGAAAUGCGGAUGGGAUAAACGCUGAAGGCAUCUAAGCGUGAAGCCCACCUCAAGAAUAAGUGUCCCAUUCGAAAGAAGUAAGACCCCUGGAAGACUACCAGGUGAUAGGUCAUCGGUGAAAGAGCGGUAACGUUUGGAGCUUGAUGAUACUAAUCGGUCGAGGACUUGAUCU